GCCUCGUUGGCUCAGUCGGGAGAGCACGUGACUCUUGAUCUCAGGUUGUGAGUUCAAGCCCCACGCUGGGUG
rnacentral:tRNA from 1 species